UAACGCGUGGGAAUCUGCCUAUCAGUGGGGAAUAACGACGGGAAACUGUCGCUAAUACCGCAUACGCCCUUAGGGGGAAAGAUUUAUCGCUGAUAGAUGAGCCCGCGUACGAUUAGCUAGUUGGUGAGGUAAUGGCUCACCAAGGCUACGAUCGUUAGGGGGUCUGAGAGGAUGAUCAGCCACACUGGGACUGAGACACGGCCCAGACUCCUACGGGAGGCAGCAGUGGGGUUUUUGGACAAUGGGCGAAAGCCUGAUCCAGCAAUGCCGAGUGAGUGAUGAAGGCCUUAGGGUUGU
rnacentral:rRNA from 1 species